rnacentral:miRNA from 1 species
CUGAAACGUCGAAACCCUAUAAGU